rnacentral:miRNA from 13 species
CCUACUGGAGUGCCUAGCACU